rnacentral:rRNA from 1 species
AUGCUCACUUCCUCCUCGUCGUCCCGUUUCUCUCUCACUGCCAGUCUGACCUCUACGACGAGCGCUCUUUCUUUCACGAUCACUAACAUCUACGCGCCCGCGGAUCACGCCCUGAUGACAGAUUUCGUCGAUGACCUCAUCGCGAUUGCUGGGGGCGUCUCUGGCCCGUGGCUUCUGCUCGGGGAUUUUAACCUGAUCCGGUUCCCCCAUGAGAAGAACAACAAUCGGUUCGAUGCCACGCGGGCCGCGACUUUCAACUCGCUCAUCAACACCCUUGCUCUCCACGAGCUUGCGCUGUCCGACCGUCGGUUCACCUGGUCGAACAAACGUGACCCCCCACGCUGGCUCGUCUCGAUCGGGUCUUCUUUGACUCCGCCUCGGAUGUUGCCUUCCCAGACUUGGCCUUGUCGUCUCGCCCGCGCCCUACCUCGGAUCAUGUGCCCCUGGUAG